AGCAAAACUCAAAAAAUAGAUCUCAGUUCGGACUGUAGGCUGCAACUCGCCUACACGAAGUUGGAAUUGCUAGUAAUCGUGGAUCAGCAUGCCACGGUGAAUACGUUCCCGGGUCUUGUACACACCGCCCGUCACACCAUGGGAGCUGGUAACACCCGAAGUCAGUAGUCUAACCGCAAGGAGGACGCUGCCGAAGGUGGGAUUAGCGACUGGGGUGAAGUCGUAACAAGGUAUC
rnacentral:rRNA from 1 species